AUUGAACGCCGGCGGCAGGCCUAACACAUGCAAGUCGAGCGGCAGCGGGAAAGUAGCUUGCUACUUUUGCCGGCGAGCGGCGGACGGGUGAGUAAUGCCUGGGGAUCUGCCCAGUCGAGGGGGAUAACUACUGGAAACGGUAGCUAAUACCGCAUACGCCCUACGGGGGAAAGCAGGGGACCUUCGGGCCUUGCGCGAUUGGAUGAACCCAGGUGGGAUUAGCUAGUUGGUGAGGUAAUGGCUCACCAAGGCGACGAUCCCUAGCUGGUCUGAGAGGAUGAUCAGCCACACUGGAACUGAGACACGGUCCAGACUCCUACGGGAGGCAGCAGUGGGGAAUAUUGCACAAUGGGGGAAACCCUGAUGCAGCCAUGCCGCGUGUGUGAAGAAGGCCUUCGGGUUGUAAAGCACUUUCAGCGAGGAGGAAAGGUUGGUAGCUAAUAACUGCCAGCUGUGACGUUACUCGCAGAAGAAGCACCGGCUAACUCCGUGCCAGCCGCCGCAGUAA
rnacentral:rRNA from 1 species